rnacentral:lncRNA from 1 species
UCGUUAAUAUUAAUAUUCACAUCUUCAUGCAAAUGAUAAAGUUCAUCAAUUAAAAAGGCACGUGCAACAAUUUUAUUUCCAAAAUAAAUUACACAGAAGUCUUUAUUAAAAUAAAAAUUAUAAUUAUCCUGUGCCAGCACAGAUAUAGAAACUAAGUUUCUACUGGCUCUAGGUACAUAAUAACAAUCUUUUAAAAGCAAACUAAUUCCUAAUGAUAAUCGCAAAAGGUAAAUUUUGACGGCUACAACAGCAACUCUUGCCCCA